rnacentral:rRNA from 1 species
UACGUAGGGGGCAAGCGUUGUCCAGAAUCAUUGGGCGUAAAGAGCGUGUAGGCGGCUCGAUAAGUCUGCUGUGAAAGUCCAGGGCUCAACCCUGGAAGGCCGGUGGAAACUGUCGGGCUAGAGUCCGGAAGAGGCGAGUGGAAUUCCCGGUGUAGCGGUGAAAUGCGCAGAUAUCGGGAGGAACACCAAUGGCGAAGGCAGCUCGCUGGGACGGUACUGACGCUGAGGCGCGAAAGCGUGGGGAGCGAACAGG